UCCAGAAGAAGAGAGAAGAUAUUAUUUCACAAAAUGACCCCUCAGGUCUGUUUACAAACGACCCCUACGCCUAUAUACAAAUGACCCCUUUACACUUAUAGCCUAUUACAUAAAUAGCCACUUACAGAAAUAACCCUAUUACACAAUUAGCCUAUUAGGCUCAGAUAUGACUCCCUCAUUGACACAAAAUAGUCUAUGGAUGGGGUUUAUCAUCAUUGCCCUACAUAUAUCUCAACACCCCCCCCCCUCAAGUUGAAGGGGGAAANNNNNNNNNNNNNNNNNCCCUACAUAUAUCUCAACAAAUGACCCCUUUACACUUAUAGCCUAUUACAUAAAUAGCCAAUUACAGAAAUAACCCUAUUACACAAUUAGCCUAUUAGGCUCAGAUAUGACUCCCUCAUUGACACAAAAUAGUCUAUGGAUG
rnacentral:lncRNA from 1 species